rnacentral:rRNA from 1 species
AGCAGCCGCGGUAAUUCCAGCUCCAAUAGCGUAUAUUAAAGUUGUUGCAGUUAAAAAGCUCGUAGUUGAAUUUCGGGGUUAGUAGGCUGGUCAUGCCACCGGUAUGUACUGGUCUUACUGAUUCCUCCUUCCUGAUGAACUGUAAUGCCAUUAAUUUGGUGUUGCAGGGAAUCUGGACUGUUACUUUGAAAAAUUAGAGUGUUUAAAGCAGGCUAACGCUUGAAUACAUUAGCAUGGAAUAAUGAAAUAGGACGUUCGAUCCUAUUUUGUGGUUUCUAGGAUUGACGUAAUGAUUAAUAGGGAUAGUUGGGGGC